GACGAACGCUGGCGGCGUGCCUAAUACAUGCAAGUCGAGCGCAGGAAAUCGACGGAACCCUUCGGGGGAAAGUCGACGGAAAGAGCGGCGGACGGGUGAGUAACACGUAAAGAACCUGCCCUCAGGUCUGGGAUAACCACGAGAAAUCGGGGCUAAUACCGGAUGGGUCAUCGGACCGCAUGGUCCGAGGAUGAAAGGCGCUUCGGCGUCGCCUGGGGAUGGCUUUGCGGUGCAUUAGCUAGUUGGUGGGGUAAUGGCCCACCAAGGCGACGAUGCAUAGCCGACCUGAGAGGGUGGACGGCCACACGGGGACUGAGACACGGCCCAGACUCCUACGGGAGGCAGCAGUAGGGAAUCUUCGGCAAUGGGCGAGAGUCUGAUGGAGCAACGCGGCGUGAACGAUGAAGGCCUUCGGGUCGUAAAGUUCUGUUGUAAGGGAAGAACAAGUGCCGCAGGCAAUGGCGGCACCUUGACGGUACCUUGCGAGAAAGCCACGGCUAACUACGUGCCAGCCGCCGCCGUAA
rnacentral:rRNA from 1 species